UGUAAGCCGGGUUCUGUCGUGGACAAUCAUUCCUCUAGGCUUGCAUUUACACACAAGCUCAAGCAACCUACCCGAACUCUCGGCGGGCCACCGAUUGAGUUCCUAUUUGGUCUUGCUACGAGUGGAGUUUACCUAGCUGCCAAAUGUUACCACUGGCACGGUGCGCUCUUACCGCACCCUUUCACCCUUACCAGCCAAAGCUGGCGGUCUGCUCUCUGUUGCACUAGUCGUAGGCUCGCGCCCCCCGGACGUUAUCCGGCACUCUGCCCUAUGUAGCCAGGACUUUCCUCCCCACAGAACCCGGCUU
rnacentral:RNase_P_RNA from 1 species